UGUGAAAUAAUUUGUAUAGGUAGGUUAUGUAGGCUAAUCAACAUGAUAACAGACACUUUAGAUGAUCCUGGAGCAAAGGCUGUAAUUUGACCUGAACCCAAAUUGGUCUCUAUUUUAAAUAUUGUCUUGAACCAAUAAGUUAAGAGGACUAACCUUUCUGGACGACAUUGCCAUCGACAUCACAGCAGAUGAGAGAGAAAGAGAGACCAGAGUUGUGGACCCUGGAGGCAAUUACCAUACUGCCGUGAUAAUGUUCCUUGGUCUAACCAUAACUUAAGUGAGAACUGAAGCCUACCAGUAAAAUGGGGGCGUUGUAAUUAAUAUCCUCCGACAUUGGAGAAUACAGGGGAGAGGUGUCAGAGGAAGAGGAGAUGGAGGAUGGGGCGAAGUAAAGACUAAGAUUG